rnacentral:rRNA from 1 species
GACGAACGCUGGCGGCGUGCUUAACACAUGCAAGUCGAACGGAAAGGCCCUGCUUUUGUGGGGUGCUCGAGUGGCGAACGGGUGAGUAACACGUGAGUAACCUGCCCUUGACUUUGGGAUAACUUCAGGAAACUGGGGCUAAUACCGGAUAGGAGCUCCUGCUGCAUGGUGGGGGUUGGAAAGUUUCGGCGGUUGGGGAUGGACUCGCGGCUUAUCAGCUUGUUGGUGGGGUAGUGGCUUACCAAUGCUUUGACGGGUAGCCGGCCUGAGAGGGUGACCGGCCACAUUGGGACUGAGGUACGGCCCGUACUCCUACGGGAGGCAGCAGUGGGGAAUAUUGCACGAUGGGCGGAAGCCUGAUGCAGCAACGCCGCGUGCGGGAUGACGGCCGUCGGGUUGUAAACCGCUUUCGCCUGUGACGAAGCGUGAGUGACGGUAAUGGGUAAAGAAGCACCGGCUAACUACGUG